GACGCAAGUCUGAUGGAGCAACGCCGCGUGAGUGAAGAAGGUUUUCGGAUCGUAAAGCUCUGUUGUUGGUGAAGAAGGAUAGAGGUAGUAACUGGCCUUUAUUUGACGGUAAUCAACCAGAAAGUCACGGCUAACUACGUGCCAGCAGCCGCGGUAAUACGUAGGUGGCAAGCGUUGUCCGGAUUUAUUGGGCGUAAAGCGAGCGCAGGCGGAAAAAUAAGUCUAAUGUGAAAGCCCUCGGCUUAACCGAGGAAUUGCAUCGGAAACUGUUUUUCUUGAGUGCAGAAGAGGAGAGUGGAACUCCAUGUGUAGCGGUGGAAUGCGUAGAUAUAUGGAAGAACACCAGUGGCGAAGGCGGCUCUCUGGUCUGCAACUGACGCUGAGGCUCGAAAGCAUGGGUAGCGAACAGGAUUAGAUACCCUGGUAGUCCAUGCCGUAAACGAUGAGUGCUAAGUGUUGGGAGGUUUCCGCCUCUCAGUGCUGCAGCUAACGCAUUAAGCACUCCGCCUGGGGAGUACGACCGCAAGGUUGAAACUCAAAGGAAUUGACGGGGGCCCGCACAAGCGGUGGAGCAUGUGGUUUAAUUCGAAGCAACGCGAAGAACCUUACCAGGUCUUGACAUCUAGCGCCAAUCGUAGAGAUACGAUGUUCC
rnacentral:rRNA from 1 species